UACGUAGGGUGCAAGCGUUGUCCGGAAUCACUGGGCGUAAAGGGCGCGUAGGCGGCUCGGUAAGUAGGGGGUGAAAUCCUGCGGCUCAACCGCAGGGCUGCCUUCUAAACUGUCGAGCUCGAGCACGGUAGAGGCAGAUGGAAUUCCCGGUGUAGCGGUGGAAUGCGUAGAGAUCGGGAAGAACAUCAGUGGCGAAGGCGGUCUGCUGGGCCGUUGCUGACGCUGAGGCGCGACAGCGUGGGGAGCAAACAGG
rnacentral:rRNA from 1 species